UGGGGAAUUUUGGACAAUGGGCGAAAGCCUGAUCCAGCAAUGCCGCGUGUGUGAAGAAGGCCUUCGGGUUGUAAAGCACUUUUGUCCGGAAAGAAAUCCUUGGCUCUAAUACAGUCGGGGGAUGACGGUACCGGAAGAAUAAGCACCGGCUAACCACGUGCCAGCAGCCGCGGUAAUACGUAGGGUGCAAGCGUUAAUCGGAAUUACUGGGCGUAAAGCGUGCGCAGGCGGUUUGCUAAGACCGAUGUGAAAUCCCCGGGCUCAACCUGGGAACUGCAUUGGUGACUGGCAGGCUAGAGUAUGGCAGAGGGGGGUAGAAUUCCACGUGUAGCAGUGAAAUGCGUAGAGAUGUGGAGGAAUACCGAUGGCGAAGGCAGCCCCCUGGGCCAAUACUGACGCUCAUGCACGAAAGCGUGGGGAGCAAACAGGAUUAGAUACCCUGGUAGUCCACGCCCUAAACGAUGUCAACUAGUUGUUGGGGAUUCAUUUCCUUAGUAACGUAGCUAACGCGUGAAGUUGACCGCCUGGGGAGUACGGUCGCAAGAUUAAAACUCAAAUGAAUUGACGGGGUCAUAGCUGUUUCCU
rnacentral:rRNA from 1 species